CUCUGAUGAAGUGCUCUGUACUUGUUGGAAGACACAUUUUCAUAAGCUGAUUGGGAUUGAGGAUGAGACCUCAAGAUCAUGCUUCAGAUCAUGAGAUCAAGGUCAUGAGAAGAAGCUACACUGAGAUUCAGGAGAGAGUAACAACUUACGGCUGCUUUGUGAAGACUUACCUGUAAGGAACAAGCUGGAAGCAGGGGGACAAGACCAGAGGCUGUUGGAGCAGCCCAGGAGAGAAGAUGAAUGAGAGCUGGGGUAAUGUGGGGCAAGUGUGGACAGGAAGUUGGCUUCGGGAUAUAUUUUGAAGCCAAGAAUUUGCCAAAGGAUUGGCUGUGCUGUACAGAAAGUAGAAAAAUAAACAAUUAACACCAGGUUCGGCCAGAGAAAACAUAAAAUAAAUGGUGCCAUUUACAGAUAUAGGAAGACUUGAGAAGGAUGAGGGGAGCGGGGUGGCCUGGAUAUGCAUCAAGAGGGCACUGAGUUUCGGUAGCCAAGAGAGUAUUUCAAUGAAGAGCAAGGGAUCAUCAUCAGAUGCUGUGAAUAGGAGGCGAGGGCUGGGAAUUGGCUUAGCCAGAAGGAGCACCAGUCACCUUGACAAAAACGGUUCUAUAGGACAGCUGGGCAAAUGUCUGAUUAAAUAUAUUAACUGUUCAUCAUUUUAUCCCAAGUUUUUCUGUCGAUGCUUUAGAGUUUUUUUCUUAUUGAGGUUAAAGAAUCCAACAUAUGUGUGUCAUAUUUAUUACAAAUUGUUCUCCCUAGUUUACCAUUUGUCAUUUUUAUUCUUAAGGGUUUUCAUCACAUCUAAAUGUUUACAAGCACUACUGCUUCUAGAGAGUCUUUGACCUUCUGUGAUGCAGUAAAUAUGCAUCUACAUUUUUCUUCUCUUUCUCUCUUUUACGUUUUCAUAUUUUAUGUUUAACUUUAAUCCAUGUGAAAUUUAUUUGGGGCUAAAGUGUAAGGUAUCCAUCUAACUUAAUUUUUGUCCAGAGUUAACAAAUUGUCACUUAUUGAGUGGUCAUUUCUUUCCCUACUAAAUGAGAACAUAUGUUAUGGGUUGAAAUGUGUCUCCCAGAAAGACAUUGAGGUCCUCACCCCUUGUACCUCAGAACAACCUGAUUUGGAAGUAGGAUCACUGCUGAUGUAAUUAGUUAGGAUGAGGCUAUCUGGAGUAGGGUGGGCACACACAGGAAGGAGAUGGCCAGGUGCAGCAGACGGCAGAGAUUGGAAUCACGCUGCCACUGGCCUAGAACAUCAAGGAUUGCUGGCGACAGGAGAAGCUCAGAAGAGGCAGGAAGGAUUCUUCCCUAGAAUCUUCACAGGGAGUCAGCCCUGCUUGCUUCUGGAUUUCAGACUUCAAGCCUCCAGAACUGUGAGAGAGCAAAUUUCUGUUGUUUUAAGCCACCCAGUUUGUGGUAUGUUUGUACAGCAGCCUUAGAAAACUAAUACACCCUUUCUAUCACAUAUAAAGUCCCCUUAUAAAAUGCUCUCUAUGUCUAUUUCUAUUAAUUUAUGUCUAUUAUUAUAUUCGUUUUACCAUUUGUUAAGAUUUUUUAAAAUUUAUUUUAAUAUUCAAUAUUUUUCCCUCAUUACAUCUUUUCUGAAUUUGCUUAGUAAUCUCCCAAAAUAUUCUAUUUUUAGAAUUAAUAUGUCAAAUCCUGUUUCCUCCAAAACAUAUAUAUACACACACACAGUGACUUAUUACUUAACAACAAAAAUUCACAAUAUGAUUACCUUAAAUAACAAAAUCUCCAGUUCAUUUAAAAUAUUGUUUUGAUUUUUAAAAUUUAUUUCCAUUUAACAAUUUGCAUUUAUUCCAGAAAAUUGGACCAAUAUGUGUUUUUAAAACAACUAUAGAUCUUGGGAGAAUAAUAAAAAUUUUACAUUGCAUAAAGUUGAAGGAAACUGUAUUUUGUAUUAUUUGGUAAUAGUACAUGUCUCUUUGAUUUCUAUUUUAAUGUUCAAAAAUUGUUUCUCAUCAUUUAUUUCAAGUGAAUGGCAUAACAGACAUUCUACCUCAAGGAUGUUUCCACGUUCACCACCCACCAGUCCAAUGCCCCAGCUCUAAUCACAGAUGUUUUCCCAAAAUCCUUCCCUGCCUUCCCCAAAGUCUUCCCCCUCAUGCAUCAUGAAUGCUUGCUGAUCCCUCAGGGCCCCCCAACGUUGCUGAUCCCAAAGUCUUGAAGCCACCCUAGUUAGAAUUAUUUCCCUGUCACUUUUUGUCAUUCUUGCACAAUAACAUAUUAUUAUCAUGUAUUGCAGUAUAAUGUUAUCUUUUAUCUGUGUUUAGGGUUUGAACUAUGAUGUAUUAAGUCACAUUCAUUUGAGCAAUAUUUGUUUUUUACAUUGUGUCCUUAAGCUGUUUUUUAAUCAGAUUGACUAAUUCCACCUACUCCUCCUAAAUGUGUGCUUCCAAAUUACCUGUCCUUUAGGUAGAAAUCAAUUAUGAGAACUGGCCUUACCUGAGACAUUCUUGUAAAGGAGAACACCCAGCAUUUAAAAAUCCAUCUUUAUGUAGGCCAGGGUUCGUCCCUACAGCUAUUUCUCUACAUAUUACAUACAGCAAUCAGUACCACAAUGCUGUUCUCCAACAAGAUUCAAAUAACUUUCUUGGUGUGAUGAAAUAAGCACUGGGCAAAGGGUCUUUUUUGAGACUGGAUUCAAGUUCCGACUUUGUCCCAUCUAUCACCUCCCUGGGCCUCAGGUCCUUCCUCUGCAUAGUGAUGUUACUGUACUAGAUCACUGGGAGAUUGGUUUUGUUUUAUGCCGGGGUUUGGGGGGGGGUUGCUUUGAUUUUUUUGUUUGUUUUAAUUUGCAGCUGCAGGGAAGACUCUAGAAAAAAUUGAAGUGGGAGGAGGAGCAGUAAUAGAUAAAAAAGAGCUGCCCACGCGGAAGCUGGAAGGAUGGGCUGCCUCUUGACCUUCACCACAUUCACAGCAGCCUGAGAAGCUCCUCUGUGGCUUGCACGGCAGGGUUGUUCCUGAGAAAGCACUUUGAAGCCAUUAAACUAGGUGAGCUACUUUUCUUGGAAGGAGUAUGGCCAAGGGGAGGAAGAACGUCUCUCAGAUUUCCACGUUAAGGAGAAGGAAUUCAGAUCCCCAGGCCUGGAUGAGCACUUUUGAAUUUCACAGGAGUCCAACCCAGGAGGAGGCCUCAGCUCAGCCUCCAGGGCCCCUUAGUGAGAAAGAAUCUUCACGCCAGCAGGAGACCUCAGCUUAUUUUCCAGGACAGGUAGAACCACCUGAAACCCUGCAGGAGUAAUCCAGCUCAGCCUCCAGAGCCUUUUUCUAGGGAGACGGAACAUUUUCCAACACAGCAGGAAUACCCAGCUCAACCUCGAAUUUCACCUCCAGGUCACCGUCCUGCUCAGCAUUCAAACUGCCCAGUGUCACCGUCAAACCUGCGGAUGUGCAGAUGACCAUAACAGAGUGGACGGCAGAUGUGUACCCUUCUCCAACUCAGCAUCCAUCUACAGCUAAGCCUUCCAUGCCCCUUAGUAAGGCAGGACCUCCUACAACCCAGCGUGAGGCCCCAGCUCUGCUUCUGCAACUCCCUCAGAAGGUUGGACCUUUGUCAGAUCAACAGGAGACCUUUGCCAUCUCCAGAACCUACUGCACAUGAGACACCAAGACAACAGUAUGCCCCAGCCCCAGUCAGAGACCCCUGAGGAGGGUGAACCAUCUCCACCCCAGGAGGAGGCCCUGGAUCAGCAUCCACAGGCCCCUGAAGAGGUUGAACCUUCUCCAACCAACAGGAGGCCCCAGCUCAGUCUCCGGAGCCCUCUCAUGAUACUGCGGCUCACUCUCCAGAGCAUCACAUGAUGACAAUUUCUCCUCCUGAUGUUGCCUACUAUUAAAUCUGUAGAUCUGACACUUACCAUAACUCCAGAGUUCACUAGUGAGGUUGAAUCUUCUCCACCCCAGCAACAGCCUGCAGUGUCUCCUGAGCAGCUGAGACCCUUAUCAGUCCAGUAAAAGGUUCCAGAACAUCAUCCCUCCUGAAAAUAGUGAAGCUUCUCCGAUCUAGCGGGCCCUAGCCAAGCCAUUACAACCCCUUAAGGAGACUGAAUCAUCUGGAACUGAGCAGGAGAUCUCAGCCUAUCCUGAAAGCCUGCUGGAGAGGUCAAAACAUCUCCAGUCCCCCAGGAGGAGUCAGCUGCAUCUCCUGAGCCCCUGAAGGAGGCGACACCACCCACACAGCGGGAGGUCCAGUCUCUGCUUUCAGAGGCCCCUGUAGAACCAUCUUCAGUCUAGCAGGCAGCCCCACCUCAGCCUCCAGAGCCCUCUAAUGGGGCAGAAUCUUUUCCAACCCAGGAGGAGUCUCCAGCGUGGCUUCCAGACUCACUUAAGGAAGUUGUAGCGUAACCUCCAGUCUAUGAUAAGAUGACAGUUCCAUCUCUAGGACAGAAUCAAGCUCAGCAUCCAGACCUGCCCAAUGUCACUGUUAAGCCUGUUAACCUGGAGCUCACCAUAACUCCGGAACCUCCAACUCUAGAUCAGCAUCGUGCUCAGUAUCCAGCAUCGUUCAACAUCACAGUCCAACCUUUGGACCUGGGGCUUGCUGUAACUCCAGAACCUGCCGAGGAGGUCGGCCAUUCCACAGUCCUCUAGGAGACUGAAGCUCCUCCGGACUACCCUGAGGGCGCACUUCCACAUGUAGAUCAGACUCCAAGUCAGCAUCCAAACCUGACUGAAGUUACAGUUCGUCCUGAAGACUUGGAACUUCCUGUACCUGCAGGAUCUAAUGCGGAGGCUGAACCUUCUCCAGCCAUGCAGGAGACCCCACAUCAGCCUCCAGAGCCAGCUGAGGAGGUUGUUGCUCAAUAUCCAUUCCAUCAGGAGGGGACAGUUUCACCUGCAAGUGAGGAUAAAGGUCAACAACCACGGCCACCCAGUAUCCCAGUUCACCCAGCUCUGUGGACCUGGAGCUUACCAAGACCACAGAACUCCCUGCAGAGG